AAUGAACGCUGGCGGCAUGCCUAACACAUGCAAGUCGAACGAAGGCUUCGGCCUUAGUGGCGCACGGGUGCGUAACGCGUGGGAAUCUGCCCUUGGGUUCGGAAUAACAGUUAGAAAUGACUGCUAAUACCGGAUGAUGUCGUAAGACCAAAGAUUUAUCGCCCAAGGAUGAGCCCGCGUAGGAUUAGCUAGUUGGUGGGGUAAAGGCCUACCAAGGCGACGAUCCUUAGCUGGUCUGAGAGGAUGAUCAGCCACACUGGGACUGAGACACGGCCCAGACUCCUACGGGAGGCAGCAGUGGGGAAUAUUAGACAAUGGGCGAAAGCCUGAUCCAGCAAUGCCGCGUGAGUGAUGAAGGCCUUAGGGUUGUAAAGCUCUUUUACCCGGGAUGAUAAUGACAGUACCGGGAGAAUAAGCGCCGGCUAACUUCGUG
rnacentral:rRNA from 1 species